rnacentral:tRNA from 1 species
GAGAGUAUAGCUCAGUGGUAGAGCAUGUGCUUAGCAUGCAGGAGGUCCUGGGUUCAAUCCCCAGUACCUCCA